UACGGGGGGAGCAAACGUUGUUCGGAAUCACUGGGCGUAAAGGGCGUGUAGGCGGCUGGAUAAGUGGGAUGUUAAAUCCCCCGGCUCAACCGGGGACCUGCAUCUCAUACUGUUCAGCUCGAGCACAUCAGAGGAGACUGGAAUUCCCGGUGUAGCGGUGAAAUGCGUAGAUAUCAGGAGGAACACCGGUGGCGAAGGCGGUUCUCUGGGCCUUACCUGACGCUGAGGAGCGAAAGCAUGGGGAGCAAACAGG
rnacentral:rRNA from 1 species